AUCGUUUACUGCCCCAUCCUUACGACACUGAUCACUUGGGAUGCCAGGUCGCUUACACCACGCUCGGUACUGACCAUCCGUUUCGGAGGUCCUGACUCAAGGCUGGUCAACAAUGAUUUACCAGCGAUUACUGAUUUCAUGGGCAGCAGCACGUUCAAGGUUCACAGUUGUUACGUUGGAUACGUGUUAAUGAUCCUUCCGCAGGUUCACC
rnacentral:misc_RNA from 1 species